rnacentral:lncRNA from 1 species
CGCUAGAGAAGGCAACUUUUCUCACUGAGGGCGGGACGGACCCGACCCGGCGAGCUCCCGGCCGCGGUGGCCAAGGGCAGACCGAGCACGCAGGAGGCAGCACGCCAGGGAGCGGGAAGCGACGCCGCCGCUCAGAAACGGGCACCUUCGAGGUCAAGCCUGGAGCGCUCCAGGAGCACCGCGAGGAUAGCGAGCGAGACACGUGCACACGCCAGUCGGGAAGGGCAUGCAGCACGGCAGACUGGCCACCCCCUGCCCCGGUCCGGGGAGGGGGACCAGGCAGACCACGCGAGCCGCGCCAGGGGCAACCUGGCAACGUCGCAAGAACCCCACGAACCACAGCGACAAGUGCGGGGAUUGACAGGGUUCAGACCGGAUAACCGCACCCCUGCCUUCCACACACCACCAAACGGUGGGGAGGAGAGGCGAGGGGCCCGCUGGCAGAACGAGAAGAGCGGCCGCCAUUCGCCAUGAAUGUCCGUCCCUCGCCUGGCGCGGCUUAGGCUCCGGCCCGAAGAGAGCUUGAGAGUACCACAUCGAUCCAGAGAAAACCGGAGAGACCGCCUUUUUUUAAGGCCAACUUGGAGCGAGCAAGACGGGAGAAGCGAGCGAGCGAGCGUGAACGAGAAACGGGAGAGAGCCAAUACACCACCACCAUAUAGGGGGGAAAAAAAAAAAAAAAAAAAAAAAAAAAAAAAAAAAAAAACACCGCCCAUGGUCAGGAAGGAACAAACACGAGGCCUUCUCUCAAAAGACCGCGGCUCCCACCAUCCCAAAGAAACGGCACGGGUGACAACUGCAAAGCGGGCACGCCUGACACGCAAAAGGGCCACUCGCAGGGAGACAGGCAUAGCAUACGGUAAAAGUACUGUGGCCGUCCCCCCCGCGUCUCUCCAUGUACCGAGAAGCCCCAAGGGGCAAGAGGCUGGACCGGACGGAGGAACCCAGUGGCACUCGAGGAACCAGAAAAAGCCCGAGAGCAGUCCUUUACUAAUGUCACCCACUCACAAGACAAGCGUGUCAGUACCUAUCUGCAGGUACAAAGAGAGCAGAUUGCAAAACUGGAAUAUGAUGACAGUGUAG